CCCGUUACUGAUGAUGAUCUGGUAGAAUUCAUUGUUGCUGGUUUGGGACCAACCUAUAGUCCCUUUACACGAUCGCUUGAAUCGCGUCAAGAGGAUAUUUCUUUUGAUGAUUUAUAUGGAUUGUUGCUGAAUAAAGAAC